UACGUAGGGGGCAAGCGUUGUCCGGAUUUAUUGGGUUUAAAGGGUGCGUAGGCGGUUUUAUAAGUCAGUGGUGAAAUCCGGCAGCUCAACUGUCGAUGUGCCAUUGAUACUGCAGAACUUGAGUACAGACGAGGUAGGCGGAAUUGACGGUGUAGCGGUGAAAUGCUUAGAUAUCGUCAAGAACACCGAUAGCGAAGGCAGCUUACUAGACUGUAACUGACGCUGAUGCACGAAAGUGUGGGGAUCAAACAGG
rnacentral:rRNA from 1 species